CUCUCUCAAAAUCCCUAAACUCCAAAAGGAAAACAGAGCGAAAUCGCGUUCAACUUCUGCAAUUCUAUCUAUCAAAAUCCCCAAGCUCUGAAAGGAAAACAGAUCGAAAUAGCGUUCAACUUCUGCAAUUCGAUCCAUUACAAUGCCUAGAAAUGUCAAUUCUGUCCUCCACACCAGCAAUCUCUUCGCCGAUUUCAGGUAAUAUUGGAGAGGGUAGAGCAUUUUGGUCAGUCAGUUUCUAUAUACGAAGAUCAAAUAUUUUAAAAAAGAGCUCGUAUUCAGCAGGUGCCGGCACGGGUAUUUCCAUGUGGUGAACUGUGACUACACUCACUGGGAGAUGUAUGCGAUUGGCGAAAGUGCAAAUCCCACCAUCAAUAGCCAGGGCAACAGAUAUCUUGCCCCGACGAAUCGCUUUACCAAGGAGGUAAUGUAACCGUAACAAUUGAAUUCUCUAACAUCUCCACUACCAUAAACUGCAUUUACAAAUUGAAAAAUGGUAUG